CCUACGGGGAGCAGCAGUGGGGAAUAUUGGACAAUGGGCGAAAGCCUGAUCCAGCCAUGCCGCGUGUGUGAAGAAGGCCUUCGGGUUGUAAAGCACUUUCAGUGGGGAAGAAAGCCUUGGGGCUAAUACCCUCGAGGAAGGACAUCACCCACAGAAGAAGCACCGGCUAACUCCGUGCCAGCAGCCGCGGUAAUACGGAGGGUGCGAGCGUUAAUCGGAAUUACUGGGCGUAAAGCGCGCGUAGGCGGUCUGAUAAGCCGGUUGUGAAAGCCCCGGGCUCAACCUGGGAACGGCAUCCGGAACUGUCAGGCUAGAGUGCAGGAGAGGAAGGUAGAAUUCCCGGUUUAGCGGUGAAAUGCGUAGAGAUCGGGAGGAAUACCAGUGGCGAAGGCGGCCUUCUGGACUGACACUGACGCUGAGGUGCGUAAGCGUGGGUAGCAAACAGGAUUAGAUACCCUGGUAGUC
rnacentral:rRNA from 1 species